UAGGGAAUCUUCCGCAAUGGACGAAAGUCUGACGGAGCAAUGCCGCGUGAGUGAAGAAGGUUUUCGGAUCGUAAAACUCUGUUGUUAGAGAAGAACAAGGAUGAGAGUAACUGCUCAUCCCCUGACGGUAUCUAACCAGAAAGCCACGGCUAACUACGUGCCAGCAGCCGCGGUAAUACGUAGGUGGCAAGCGUUGUCCGGAUUUAUUGGGCGUAAAGCGAGCGCAGGCGGUUCUUUAAGCCUGAUGUG
rnacentral:rRNA from 1 species